rnacentral:rRNA from 1 species
ACGAGGUUUGUGACUGAGCGGCGGACGGGUGAGUAACGCGUGGGCAACCUGCCCUGCAGUGGGGGACAACAGUUGGAAACGACUGCUAAUACCGCAUGAUGUAUCUGGAAGGCAUCUUCCGGAUACCAAAGAUUUAUCGCUGUGGGAUGGGCUCAUGUCUGAUUAGUUAGUUGGUGGGGUAACGGCCUACCAAGACUGCGAUCAGUAGCCGGUCUGAGAGGAUGAACGGCCACACUGGAACUGAGACACGGUCCAGACUCC